UGGGUUGUGGCUCAGUGGUAGAGCAUCUACGUGGCAUAUAGAAGGUCUCAGGUUCCGUCCCUGGUCAAUCCAG
rnacentral:tRNA from 1 species